rnacentral:rRNA from 1 species
CUACGUGCCAGCAGCCGCGGUAAUACGGGGGGUGCGAGCGUUAAUCGGAAUAACUGGGCGUAAAGGGCACGCAGGCGGUGACUUAAGUGAGAUGUGAAAGCCCCGAGCUUAACUUGGGAAUUGCAUUUCAUACUGGGUCGCUAGAGUACUUUAGGGAGGGGUAGAAUUCCACGUGUAGCGGUGAAAUGCGUAGAGAUGUGGAGGAAUACCGAAGGCGAAGGCAGCCCCUUGGGAAUGUACUGACGCUCAUGUGCGAAAGCGUGGGGAGCAAACAGGAUUAGAUACCCUGGUAGUCCACGCUGUAAACGAUGUCGAUUUGGGGAUUGGGCUUUGAGCUUGGUGCCCGUAGCUAACGUGAUAAAUCGACCGCCUGGGGAGUACGGCCGCAAGGUUAAAACUCAAAUGAAUUGACGGGGGCCCGCACAAGCGGUGGAGCAUGUGGUUUAAUUCGAUGCAACGCGAAGAACCUUACC